GACAGAGGGGGCAAGCGUUGCUCGGAAUCACUGGGCGUAAAGGGCGCGUAGGCGGGAUGGCAAGUCGGUCGUGAAAUCCUUCGGCUCAACCGAAGAACGUCGGCCGAUACUGCCGUUCUUGAGGGAUGCAGAGGAGAUUGGAAUUCCCGGUGUAGCGGUGAAAUGCGCAGAUAUCGGGAAGAACCCCCGUGGCGAAGGCGGCUCUCUGGGACGGUACCGACGCUGAGACGCGAAAGCGUGGGGAGCGAACAGG
rnacentral:rRNA from 1 species